UACGUAGGGUGCAAGCGUUAAUCGGAAUUACUGGGCGUAAAGCGUGCGCAGGCGGCUUUGUAAGUCAGAUGUGAAAUCCCCGGGCUUAACCUGGGAACUGCAUUUGAGACUGCAUGGCUGGAGUGCGGCAGAGGGGGAUGGAAUUCCGCGUGUAGCAGUGAAAUGCGUAGAUAUGCGGAGGAACACCGAUGGCGAAGGCAAUCCCCUGGGCAUGAACUGACGCUCAUGCGCGAAAGCGUGGGGAGCAAACAGG
rnacentral:rRNA from 1 species